rnacentral:lncRNA from 12 species
AGAAUAGGGAUGGCAGUGACAGAAUAGGGAUGGCAGUGACAGAAUAGGGAUGGCAGUGACAGAAUAGUGAUGGCAGUGAGGGUGCAGUGACGGCAGUGAGGGUGCAGUGAUGGCAGUAGAGGUGCAGUGACUGCAGUGGAGGUGCAGUGACGGCAGUGGAGGUGCAGUGAUGGCAGUGGAGGUGCAGUGAUGGCAGUGGAGGUGCAGUGGUGCUCCUGCAGAGCUCCCAGCUCCUCUCCUAUCUCCUCCACCUUGGUGCGCAUGACCAGUGUUUCAGGGCUGGGGAUGGAAGGGAGGAGGAGUGGAGAAGAGGGAAGUUUCACUGGAAAACAUUACCAGAGGCUCAGCUUUGAGCAGAGAAGUGCUGGCUCAGCUCUGACUUUCCUGGCUAAAAAUGAAAAAAACCCUGAAAAACAGCCAAAAACCCCAGGAAGAGGCUGUGUAGGUUUUGCAGCGCAGAGGAAUUGGC